UUCCCAAAUAAAACCCGGAGCCUGAACUCCGAGCCAGGGCGCAACGAGGAGAGGGUAAUGCUGCCACCAGGGGGCACUAGAGCUCACGUGCAGAGGAGGGGCUCAUGCGGCCUCUCUGACCCUAGAAGAUUGGAAGGAUUCGGGAGGUGUCUGACACCUACUCCAGGCCCUCUCCUCAACGCCUACCCCACACCCCAGGGCCAGCGUCUUCGCAGGGGUCAUUCUCGCAGAGGAACUUCGCAGUUCCCUUAGAGUUACUGCUGAGAAAACUUUCGUUCUGCAAAAGCUGACUGAUCAACGACGUCUUGAAAAGACCCCAUCACGGCUAGACCAAGGGAUCUGGAAUCUGUAUGUGGCAGGCCAGUCUGACAAGCUGGGCAGUGACAUACCCCAGGACCUUCAUCCUGGCUUCAUACUCUGUCAGCGCCUCCUGCUGGAACUGUAGGGACAGCAAAGACCACCACCUGGCUCAGGAAGGGCCUCCUGCCUACACUCCCUCCCCUGGAGAGCAGAGCAAGAUGACCUGGGACUCAGUCUGUUCGGAGUGCUCAGGAGACUGGGGCGGAGGUGUGGGGCAGUGGAGCUCAUCAGGGAGCCUCUCAGGUGAGUGGGCACUAACCAAACAAAGAGAUCUGCAAAGCUGCCUCAUGACAGGGCCUGAGGACCCCAUAGGAACCGGAGCCUGGGGUCCCAUGGUGAGAGGGGAGCCCCCCUCCCCCACCUCCUGACUAGCAGCUCUCUGGAGCAGGGCCCUUUGCUCCCUGGAGCCAGGCCAGCUCUGCUGCUGGCCAGAACAGUGGUC